rnacentral:rRNA from 1 species
UACGAAGGGGGCUAGCGUUGUUCGGAUUUACUGGGCGUAAAGCGCACGUAGGCGGUUUGUUAAGUCAGAGGUGAAAUCCUGGAGCUCAACUCCAGAGCUGCCUUUGAUACUGGCAAGCUCGAGUCCGGAAGAGGUAAGUGGAACUCCUAGUGUAGAGGUGGAAUUCGUAGAUAUUAGGAAGAACACCGGUGGCGAAGGCGGCCUGCUGGGCAGUGGCUGACACUGAGGCGCGACAGCGUGGGGAGCAAACAGGG